rnacentral:rRNA from 1 species
CUCUGUGACUCCUACGGAGGCAGCAGUGGGGAAUAUUGCACAAUGGGCGCAAGCCUGAUGCAGCCAUGCCGCGUGUGUGAAGAAGGCCUUCGGGUUGUAAAGCACUUUCAGUCGUGAGGAAGGUAGUGUAGUUAAUAGCUGCAUUAUUUGACGUUAGCGACAGAAGAAGCACCGGCUAACUCCGUGCCAGCAGCCGCGGUAAUACGGAGGGUGCGAGCGUUAAUCGGAAUUACUGGGCGUAAAGCGCAUGCAGGUGGUUUGUUAAGUCAGAUGUGAAAGCCCGGGGCUCAACCUCGGAAUUGCAUUUGAAACUGGCAGACUAGAGUACUGUAGAGGGGGUAGAAUUUCAGGUGUAGCGGUGAAAUGCGUAGAGAUCUGAAGGAAUACCGGUGGCGAAGGCGGCCCCCUGGACAGAUACUGACACUCAGAUGCGAAAGCGUGGGGAGCAAACAGGAUUAGAUACCCUGGUAG